UUUUCAUCAGACAAUCUGUGUGAGCACUGCAAAGUACGCUUCUUUAAGGUAAGGAGGUGAUCCAACCGCAGGUUCCCCUACGGUUACCUUGUUACGACUUCACCCCAGUCAUGAAUCACAAAGUGGUAAGCGCCCUCCCGAAGGUUAAGCUACCUACUUCUUUUGCAACCCACUCCCAUGGUGUGACGGGCGGUGUGUACAAGGCCCGGGAACGUAUUCACCGUGGCAUUCUGAUCCACGAUUACUAGCGAUUCCGACUUCAUGGAGUCGAGUUGCAGACUCCAAUCCGGACUACGACGCACUUUAUGAGGUCCGCUUGCUCUCGCGAGGUCGCUUCUCUUUGUAUGCGCCAUUGUAGCACGUGUGUAGCCCUGGUCGUAAGGGCCAUGAUGACUUGACGUCAUCCCCACCUUCCUCCAGUUUAUCACUGGCAGUCUCCUUUGAGUUCCCGGCCGGACCGCUGGCAACAAAGGAUAAGGGUUGCGCUCGUUGCGGGACUUAACCCAACAUUUCACAACACGAGCUGACGACAGCCAUGCAGCACCUGUCUCACGGUUCCCGAAGGCACAUUCUCAUCUCUGAAAACUUCCGUGGAUGUCAAGACCAGGUAAGGUUCUUCGCGUUGCAUCGAAUUAAACCACAUGCUCCACCGCUUGUGCGGGCCCCCGUCAAUUCAUUUGAGUUUUAACCUUGCGGCCGUACUCCCCAGGCGGUCUACUUAACGCGUUAGCUCCGGAAGCCACGCCUCAAGGGCACAACCUCCAAGUAGACAUCGUUUACGGCGUGGACUACCAGGGUAUCUAAUCCUGUUUGCUCCCCACGCUUUCGCACCUGAGCGUCAGUCUUUGUCCAGGGGGCCGCCUUCGCCACCGGUAUUCCUCCAGAUCUCUACGCAUUUCACCGCUACACCUGGAAUUCUACCCCCCUCUACAAGACUCAAGCCUGCCAGUUUCGAAUGCAGUUCCCAGGUUGAGCCCGGGGAUUUCACAUCCGACUUGACAGACCGCCUGCGUGCGCUUUACGCCCAGUAAUUCCGAUUAACGCUUGCACCCUCCGUAUUACCGCGGCUGCUGGCACGGAGUUAGCCGGUGCUUCUUCUGCGGGUAACGUCAAUUGCUGCGGUUAUUAACCACAACACCUUCCUCCCCGCUGAAAGUACUUUACAACCCGAAGGCCUUCUUCAUACACGCGGCAUGGCUGCAUCAGGCUUGCGCCCAUUGUGCAAUAUUCCCCACUGCUGCCUCCCGUAGGAGUCUGGACCGUGUCUCAGUUCCAGUGUGGCUGGUCAUCCUCUCAGACCAGCUAGGGAUCGUCGCCUUGGUGAGCCGUUACCUCACCAACAAGCUAAUCCCAUCUGGGCACAUCUGAUGGCAAGAGGCCCGAAGGUCCCCCUCUUUGGUCUUGCGACGUUAUGCGGUAUUAGCCACCGUUUCCAGUAGUUAUCCCCCUCCAUCAGGCAGUUUCCCAGACAUUACUCACCCGUCCGCCACUCGUCAGCAAAGCAGCAAGCUGCUUCCUGUUACCGUUCGACUUGCAUGUGUUAGGCCUGCCGCCAGCGUUCAAUCUGAGCCAUGAUCAAACUCUUCAAUUUAAAAGUUUGAUGCUCAAUGAAUUAAACUUCGUAAUGAAUUACGUGUUCACUCUUGAGACUUGGU
rnacentral:rRNA from 1 species